AUAAAUAAAUAAAACAAAAAAAAAACUCAAUUUGUCGUGUUGUCAAAAGAGCUCAAUACAGUCGAUUGUGAUGUCGAAACAAUAAUUUAAAUGAAAUUAUCAGUUUACGAUACUAUUAAUCAACCGGACCAUGUAAAUUAAACAUGCGAUAGUAAAGGAGUACAGCUUUCAAGUCAUACGUUCCUUGUUAACAGUGCAUUUUCGUUGAAAAUUAACAAAAAGUAGUCAGCAGAAUGGAUGGGACUUGGGUACUGAUUUUACUGGCUCUGGUGAUGCUGGUGGGGUCCUAUGUAGCUGGAAGUAUACCCUUGAACGUGAGCAUGUCCGAGGACAAGCUCCAAAAAGUCACAGUAUUUGGUGCCGGCCUCCUCGUAGGCACAGCCCUAGCGGUGAUCAUUCCGGAAGGCGUCCGAUCUCUGUUCAGUGAGCGAUCAAAUCCUACCGUGGUUACAAAAGACUUUACUGCAGAACCGCCCAGCCAUGAUGAUGAUUUACAUUCUGUUAUUGGGAUAUCACUUGUUUUAGGAUUUGUGUUUAUGCUACUUGUAGACCAGAUGUCAUCAAGAUAUAAUGAUCAAAGCAAUCCCGUUGAGAAGAAUGUUACGGCCACUGUUGGUCUAGUUGUGCAUGCUGCAGCGGACGGCAUAGCCUUGGGCGCGGCAGCCACUACCUCUCACGCUGAUGUGGAGCUGAUAGUGUUCCUGGCUAUCAUGCUGCAUAAGGCACCAGCUGCCUUCGGACUGGUCACAUUCCUUCUUCAUGCGGGGCUUGAGAGGAAUAGGAUACGAAAGCAUCUGCUGAUAUUCUCAUGUGCCGCCCCCCUGCUUGCGUUGCUCACGUACUUCGGUAUCGGCAAUGAGAGCAAACAGACUUUGAGCGAUUUUAAUGCUACAGGAAUAGCAAUGCUCUUCUCAGCGGGUACAUUUUUAUACGUAGCCACAGUUCACGUUCUACCAGAAUUAACACACCCCCAAUCCCACACCCAUUCUCUACUCCCCAUGCAAGACGGAGUUCCCCCAAAGAAAGGAUUUGGGGGACUACUCCUCUCAGAGAUGAUCAUUCUAACUGUAGGAGCAUUGAUGCCACUCUUACUUACUAUGGGACAUAAGCACUGAUUUGUAAGGCUCCGAUAAUGGGGGGUUUUCUUUUUGAGAAUAAAAAAAAAAUAGUUCUCAAGAGAGUGACUAGAUGGCGUUGUGUCUAGUACGUGGGUGUGGUUUAGCACCGAGCCUUUUGAGCCGAGACCUAAAAAAUCAGAUUUCUGAACAAAUUGUUUUCCAAAUAUCUCGGGACAUUCGGAUAAUAAUCUGACUAACUUUUUUUCUUAUUUUAUUCCAAAUUUGUUCCCUAUUUUCUAUUUUUUAAAAUUGUUGAUGACAAAAACGUUUCGUCAUACGACCUUUUUUUAACGACGUCAAAAAUCAUGAAAUGACCCCCCCCGCUGUGGGUUACGCGCGGUGAGGGAGUGUCAGACUCUUACUGACUAAAAACCGUCGUGUUCCGUCGUAGGCCGCGUAUGUACCAGCGCCGCGGUAACGCGUGAACAAUCCCGCAGCCCCGGAACAAUCGAAAAUUAUAUGACGUUGAUAAGAUAUGACGUUCCUUUCCUCGCAUUCACGUACCUAGGUAAGCGCUAUAUAGUCAUCAGCUAGGAAAAUAAUGCAAAAGAAAAUCCCACAUUUUGAUGAAAUUUGGCAAAAGUAUGGUGAGUUUUGUGCGAGCUCGGUGUUGCAUCAAAAUUUGUUUGUGAAUUCGCUUUUGUGAUAGAAAAUUGUAGAUGAAUUUUUUGUAUGUAUAUUUGUGUAAUAACGGUUACUAUUUAAAGUGUUAAUUAUUUUAUUCAAUUGUUAGUCGAUUUUUUAAAACGCCUAAUUUAAAAAAAAACAUACUUGAAAAGAUUUUGAAAACUACCAUAGAGUACGAACUAAAAAAGUUUUACUAUUGUUUUUUAUGUUUUCAAAAUCGACUUUUAAUUAAUGUAAAAAAGACAAGCAAUAGUUAUUAUUACAUUUAGAAAAAAAUAUCAACAUUUUUAGCAAUAAAAUAAGUCUUAAAAAGCUAUACUUAAAAAAUAUUUAAAGUACCUAUUACCUAAAAACUAUCAAAAGACAAAUUCUUUCUACAAUAACAGCGUUUUUACACUAGCGGAUUUGCCGUGCGUUUUUUCUGCGCGACAAAAAACUAUUGACAACUAUCGAUGACGAACAAUGCUACCCAAACUGACAGUUUUUUAUACCUAGUGCAAAAAAAUUUAACUUGUACGCGCGAUAAAAUCCACUAGUCUGAAAAUGCAGUUUUUUUUGUCAAAUGGUGAAAUUUUAAUUAUAUGCCCCAAAAACUAAAAAUAUAAUAAACAGAUCUUAUGAAACGGACAAAAUUUGUGCGUAUAGUUUCUAAUUAGUGUGUAUUUAGUAAAAUAAUUUUGAAAAAAAAGCAUAAAUCUACCUAUUAUUAUUAUAAAACUGAAAAGUGUGUUUGUUUGAACGCGCUUAUCUUAGGAACUACUGAACCGAUUUUAAAAUUUAUUUCAAUGAUAUAGCCUAUUUAUCAAGGAAGGUUUUAGGCUACUUUUUACCUGCAGACUUUUAGUCGGCCGAUAGUUUGUUUGGGCUCAUAAAUCAGUAUGAAAAGGUGUGGUAGUAUUCGGCCGGUAUCUGACCGACAAAAAAUUGAUUUAAUUCAAGAUUUUCGUAAAAAAAUAUUUGUUUCUUAAAAUCGGGCAACUAUCGGCCGACUAUUUUAUCUGUAGCGAGUAUUCUUAAUCCUGGUUUUUGCAGCUAAUUUUGAAUUAAAUUCAGAUGAAUCCCUGGCUGGUAAUUAGUAUAAUAAUUUAAAUAAUAAGUAAAUAUAAUUUACACGUAGAAGAUUAUUUUAGGCUGUGUAUUCAAGAUUUUAAGUUUUUUAAAAACAUUUUUAUUUUUCUGCUUAGUUUAAUUUAGAACAAAAUUCAGGUUGAUAAUUUACUUCGUAGGAUCAAUCAAUAUAUUCUUGCAAUACAUACUUAUAUGUUAUUUUUCUACAUAAAUCUAGUUUCUUUUCCUUCUAUAAGAAAUGUGAAAAAACAACAAAAUAAACCAAUAUUAUUUUAAGAGACGAAAUAUAAAAAAUGCUGUGUAAAUUAAAAAAUAAUUCGAGCUCAUAUUAUACAGAAUGUCCCAAAAGAAAAUGAUCACUUUUCAUAAAAAAAUGCAUAGAUUGCAAAAAUCUGAUUUUUAAAACUUGCUUGUUGAAAAGACUUUAGACUUAAUUGAUGUAAAAGUCAUGUGCCAACGACGUAUUAAGAAAAAAAAAAAGGAAUUCAUUAAUUUUUUUCAAGGUCAAGGUCAAGGGCCAUUUUCGAACUUGAAGCAAAUAUUAUAGACAAACUGCAUCAAGCUACUUUAGUCUGUAAAUUUUUCACAAUCAGCAUUAAACCUUAAUACCUUAGAUAUAAAGUUGAAAAUCCAUUAAAUACAUUUAACAGAUUGUAGUAGCUUUUUUUUUAACGACGUCAAAAAACAUCAAAUGACCCCUCUCGCUGUGGGUUACGCGCGGUGAGGGAGUGUCAGAUGCUUACUGACUAAACACCGUCGUGUUCCGUCGUAGGCCUUUUAUGUACCAGGGCCGCGGUAACUCGCGUGAACAAUCCCGCAGCCACGGCAGGCAGAUUGUAGUAGCUUGAUGUGCCGUUUUCAAAAAAAGGUUUUAAUUAAUAUGUUUGUGAUCUCUAGAAAGGUCUUCUUGUAAGAAAAUAAUAGUUUUGUCUGGUCUAUAUUUCUCAUGUUUUAAUAGGUUUUUUUUUUGACAAAAAUGGACAAAACCUUUGUAUCUGUGAAAUAAGGUGGUAAGAAUGGUAUUCAAAAAGUACCUUAAGACAAAAUGGCGUUUUAUGAAAUUGAAAAAAAACAUGUAUGUAUUUCGAAUGUGAAUGUCGUUGAAUAAAUAAUAACUAUAUAAGAAUGUACAAUGUUUAUUGUUGUCUGUAUGUAAAUAAUAUUGUUUUUGUAUAUUUGUGGUAUGUUUACUUUGUACAUAUGAAUAAACGCUUGUAUUAAAAA
rnacentral:misc_RNA from 1 species